rnacentral:ncRNA from 2 species
AAAAAACUUUAGGGGUGCCUAGUGCUGAGAAAUACCCUUUGAACCUGAUGCAGUUAGUACUGCCGAAGGGAAAAGUGAGCGCAACGUU